AAGAUUAUACUUUAAGAUCAUUUUUAUAGUUCGUUACUAGAAAAGUUUCUCUGCUCAUGUAGAACACCCAAAACCACAAGGAGCCAGAGCAUCCUCUCCUGAGCGUGAAGCCAGUUCUAGGUGCUGCUUUCACAACCACCUUUUACCAUUGAGAUAGUUCUCUUCCUUUGUAAGAGUGAGAGGGGGAGGGUGCAGAAGAUAAGG